GGGAUAAAAGGGUGAAAAAAUGGGAUAAAAGGGGCAAAAUGGGCUAAAAGGGUGAGCGGGAGUGUCCCGGUGGGGCCCGGGCUCGGCCGAGCUGAGGCGCGGGGCCGUGGGGGCUCUGCGGAGCUGCUGGAGCGCUCCCGGUGAGGGAAAAAUGGGGAUAAAAGGGGGGAAAAUCGGGGA